UACCGGCGGCUCGAGUGGUGACCACUUUUAUUGGGCUUAAAGCGUCCGUAGCUGGAUUGCUAAGUCUCUUGGGAAAUCUCACGGCUUAACCGUGAGGCGUCUAAGAGAUACUGGCAAUCUUGGGACCGGAAGAGGUGAGAGGUACUCCGGGGGUAGGAGUGAAAUCCUGUAAUCCUCGGGGGACCACCUGUGGCGAAGGCGUCUCACCAGGACGGCUCCGACAGUGAGGGACGAAAGCUGGGGGAGCAAACCGGAUUAGAUACCCGGGUAGUCCCAGCCGUAAACGAUGCGCGUUAGGUGUAUCGGCGACCACGAGUCGCUGAGGUGCCGAAGGGAACCGUGAAACGUGCCGCCUGGGAAGUACGGUCGCAAGGCUGAAACUUAAAGGAAUUGGGCGGGGGAGCACCACGAACGGGUGGAGCCUGCGGUUU
rnacentral:rRNA from 1 species